rnacentral:rRNA from 1 species
UACAGAGGUCUCAAGCGUUGUUCGGAUUCAUUGGGCGUAAAGAGCUCGUAGGCGGUUUGUCGCGUCUGCUGUGAAAACUCGAGGCUCAACCUCGGGCUUGCAGUGGGUACGGGCAGACUAGAGUGCGGUAGGGGAGACUGGAAUUCCUGGUGUAGCGGUGGAAUGCGCAGAUAUCAGGAGGAACACCGAUGGCGAAGGCAGGUCUCUGGGCCGCAACUGACGCUGAGGAGCGAAAGCAUGGGGAGCGAACAGG